UACGGAGGGGGCUAGCGUUGUUCGGAAUUACUGGGCGUAAAGCGCGUGUAGGCGGCGGCGUAAGUCGGGUGUGAAAUCCCUCAGCUCAACUGAGGAAGUGCACUCGAUACUGUGUCGCUUGAAUGUCGGAGGGGAUGGCGGAAUUCCCGGUGUAGAGGUGAAAUUCGUAGAUAUCGGGAGGAACACCUGUGGCGAAGGCGGCCAUCUGGACGACAAUUGACGCUGAGACGCGAAAGCGUGGGUAGCAAACAGG
rnacentral:rRNA from 1 species